UUAAUUUUAUAUAUGCUAAUAAUUUCUUGAAUGUAUCAUCGUCUUUAAAUAAAAUAAUGUGACUUCAUUGACAAUUUUUUUCUUGUUAACUUGCUAAGAAAACCAGCAGACUGAAAAGGAAGCAUGACUCUACGGGGAACCUCAUUUAGCAAAUGGACUUAGAGAGGCUGGACCAGGUUGGGUGAGGCUUUGGGUAUCAAAAAGCCUGCAGGACUGCCUGCUCGCUCUCUCUCCCCGGUCACUACACAGGGAUGUUGGAUUCCGUUCAUAUUUCCUCACUGUGAUCCGAAGUGAAUGUGGUCAUGGGAGAACAUUCACUUAGGACAUGGAAGGGGAAGAACAGAUUCACAAAGAAAUAUUCCAGGAGAGUACACAAAAGGCUUUGGAGAUGAGGUCUUACUAUGCAGUGUAGAUGCCCUGGAAAUCUCUGUGAAGGCCAGAUCAAUGGCUUGCUCAGUCAUCAUUAGAGCUUCCUCCUGCAGUAAAUGGGAACUAAUCCAGAGACCCACGCUGGACAAUGUGGAGCAAGUGAGAGACUUUGAGAGACUCAGACCUCAAUGAUGAUGAAGCAUCAUCACCAAGUUCCUCCUUUCAGGGCUCAGGAAACUAUGGAAAUUUCGAAGCAGGAAUAUUUAAGAGCCCCAGGAGACGAUUGAUACCAGAGAAAGAUCUUCAGGAUACAAAAGAACUUGGAUAUGAAUGAAUUUGGUAUCUUCCAACUAUUUAAUGGGAAAGGACAAGAAUUCAAGUCAAGGUGCUGACUUUGUGCUUAGAAAAUUAUUUGAACCUGAAAAUGAAAGUAUGAUAAGAAUGCUCAGGAUAUUUUUGCCACUGAAUCACAAUACUACUGCUUAAUAAACCAUGUGUAGAGUGAGUAACUUUUCUAAAUCUGAUUAUUCUUGGGCAAUGAGUCCACGGAUUGCUGUACAUGAAAAUACCUUUAAUAUAUAGUUUGUAUGGCACAGUAUAUGUGAGAUAGUUCUUGCAAGGGCUAUUUAUUCAAUUCUCAAAGGUAGACUGGAUUUUCCAGAGAAACAUGCUUUUCCACACAGUUUGUAAUUUCAAAAUCACAGCAAAUGCCUGUUUUGCUCUUAAGGAAAGGUCUUGGAUAGAGAAUGAACAGCUACCAGCCUUUUCGUCUCAAAAUCAGAAGUCACAAGUUGACAGUCAGGCUACUGUUAAAAAAUUGUUUUAAUAUGCCAAACCUCUCCCUUAGUUCUGAAUGCAUACUGAAUUAAUAGCAACUAAAUUAUGCAUGUUUCCUUUAAACCUGAAACUAACUGGUACUAUAAGAUAGAUCAACAGCCUCAUUUAAGGAACUAGAGAAAUGGUCCUUGAAAGUAUAGUCUUCACCUCCUCCUUGAAGAAAUGAGACAGAGGAGACAAGAAAAUUCACACAAACACAAAUAAUAAAAUAUUUUAAAAAGACUACGUUGAAAUAGAAAACUUUUCCUGGCACGAACCAGAGCAGUUUUUGUGACAUGUGACAGAGAAAGCAGAGCUCUUAAGCCUGACAAAGAUGAUGUCUUCCUUUGCGGAUAGAAGGAAUGAUUUCUCUCCUGGAUUAUUCUAGAUGAUGUCAAAUUGUCAAAGAGUAUUAAUUAUCACAUGUGUUUCAGUGGGUAUAUUUCCAGGAUAUAGGAAAAUAACAAAGCAGCAUCCUAUCUCUAAAGAUAGAACAUAAAGCUAAGGUUUAUAGUCACAAAAUAAAAAAAAAUAUAGCCACCUAUCCUAACUCAGUCCAAGUUAUUAAUAACUGAGUAUGUGUGUAGUUAUAAAAUUCAUUUAGUUCAUUUAUACCCUAUUAUCUGUUUCAUUUUUAACAACAAUUAAAUCUGUCUAAAGACCUUUUAUGAACUGAAAUGACUAAAUGGGAAAGGAAAACAUCUAAAGCUUUACGUUCCAAAGUAGACUCUAUAGGAGGUUUUUUAAAUGUGGCGUAUCUAACCCAUCUAUGACCUACUAAGCCACAGUCUGAAUUUUCAUAAGAAAUCCAGGUGAUUUAAAUAUAGGCUAAUUUGAUAGAAACAGAAAUAGAAGACACAACCGGUAAAUACAAAUAGAGGUAAGUCGCCAAGUAAAAUUUGUAAAUUAACAUUCUUUCAAUGUCGACACUAUUCCGACACAGUUCCCAUUUUGUUUCCUAAUUUAUAAAAUGAGGAUAGUAUUUUAUCAGACUCUGGUGGUUUGAAAGGGAAUGGCCCACCAAGGCUCAAGCAUUUUAAUGUUUAGUCACCAGGGAGUGUACCUGUUUGAGGUGUAGGAGGUGUGGUCUUGUUAGAGGAAGUGUGGACUUGUGGAGAGAGAUGUGUCAUUGUGGGUAGACUUUGAGAUUUCAAAAGCCCACUCAAGGCCCAGUGUCUCUCUCUGCCUGCACCCUACAGAUCAGCAUGUAAAGUUCCCAGCUAUUGCUCAGCACCAUGUCUGCUUGCCUGCUACCAUGUUCCAAAUGAUGAUAAUGAACUAACUCUCUGGAACUGUAAGUCAGCCUUCAGUUAAAUGCUUUCUCUUAUAAGUUAUUUUGGUCAUGGUGUUUAUUUCCAGGAACAGAAUGGUAACUAAGACAGCUUCAAAGAAAUAAUAUGAUGUUAAUGAUUGAUGGUAUUAUUAAUUAAAUAAUACAGACAAAUUUUGCAUAAGAUACCAAUAAGAAAUGUUUAUAAAAUACAGGGUGGUGGUGGCACAUUCCUUUACUAGUUUCAGGACAGGCUCCAAAGCU